AUCCCCAUAAAAUUAUGGCCAUGAAAAUAGUUGCCAUCUAUUUUGAAAUACUUACCCGUCAAAGUUUGGCAGGUCACAAAUUUUCAGUGAACGAUGUUCAUUACAGUCAAACAUAAAUUGACCGCAAACAGGGACUAUUUUCGAAAUUGUGCAGUAUGGAAGAAAAGUCCAGGAUAUCUGGCGUCGGUACAGGAUUGUGAUAAAAUAUCAGCGUCGAAGCUAACACACAGUUGGGAAACGAUAGUGCCGCCCCCCGAAACAUUCUGUUUUGGUCACCCACAUGUACACAUGACGAACGACUAUUUCUAUUCAUUAAAAAUUGACUUACAGUAAGAGACCCUAUAUGUGAACUGCAUCCUGAUGAAGUGAACUAUAAACUUAUAUGGAUCUUAUUUGAAAAAAAACUAUACUUACCUUUAUGUAAAAGAAACGACUUGACCAAAUAAAAUCACCUUGACCCUUU